ensembl:lncRNA
CGGAAAUGCUAUUUUUGCAUGGUAAGUUGUUUCAGUUGGUUUUAAAUGUUAUUGUAAAUUUAGAUUAAAUUUCAGUAGAAGUUUAUUGAUGAAUGACACCAGUAAUUGUAGAAAGUGAAUCACCCUCCUCAGCAGCUGAAGGAGUCAGCUGAAUUUCAAAGGUCAUCCCAGGACACUGGGAAAUGCUUCAUUCCUUGACCACAGUAUGUCCUAAUGGGGCUGUCAGAGUAAUGUCAGUCAAUCACUGAUCAUGUUCUGAAGAUCACAUUGCUGUUGUGGGGAAAUAGGAAAGUUCUGAGUCUUUUGUUUGCAGAGAAGCAGGAAUAAAUAACCAUCUGGAUAUGGAAAACAAGAAUCUGAGCUGCUCAUUCAUCCAGGGGAUCUGGGAAGCAUGUUGAGCUUUAGUGUUCCACAGAUGUGUUAUGCUUCCUGCACAUAUUGUGUAGGCAAAUGUAUGGCACAGUCAUCGUGACUUCUGCUGUCCUCUAAACAUAUGCCUGUCUAGAGUAUUUCUGAAAGAAAGGAAAUAUGUGCAGCUCUUAUCACCAUGGUGAUGACAGGCUGAGUAAACAGUGGGUCUGCUGACAGGCUACCACAGUGACUAAUGACGGCAAUGAGGUCAUUUGUUCCAAAGCAAUGAGAGGAACUAAAAUCUGGUCUGUAUGUGUAGCCUUACCCAUAGAUGGAGUGAAAAUUACCUCUUCCCACAAUCUUUAUCUACACCAUGCGACGUCUGUGGAAGGCGAGUGGGGAUGUAAAACCUGCCAUACUGGAGGAAGAGCAGUCCGCUGUGUUUCAGUGUGAAGAAUAAUCCCCACACCUGCAGUUACUGACUGCUCCUGAUUUCCAUUGGCAACAAUGCUGUGUUUUGCAUAGAGAACAGAAGAGAAAGCAUGGGAGGCAGUAAACCAUGAAAUUGGCCUAGUGGUGAAAGAAGCAGCUUUCUACAAAGAGGAGGGGAGGAGGAUGGGGGAAAAAAGAGAAGAAAAAAAAACACCUCACCCAUAUGCACACAAACACACACUGGCACAAAAGACAAAUUUCAUAUUGCACAAUGUAUCCACCUUUAAUUUGUCCGGCACAUAUGUUUACUGAAAAUGUGUUAAAAAUUCAUUUUGAACUUAAAAUGCAUCUUCUGGACAGAAACAUCAGACAUUCAUGAAAAAUGUUAUAAAUAUGUUGUACUUAUAGAUGGCAGAAGGAAUGUCGAAAAAAUAUUUGAUUUUAAUACUGCGGUAAAUUUACUUUGUAUGCUAAGAGGCCCUUAAAGGUAUACUCCACCCCAAAAUGAAAAUUUUGUCAUUAAUCACUUACCCCCAUGUCCUUCCAAAGCCAUAAAAGCUCAGUUCGUCUUCGGAACACAAUUUAACAUAUUUUGGUUGAAAACCGGGACGCCUCUGACUGUCCCAUAGACUGCCAAGUAAAUAACAGUGUCAAGGUCCAUAAUAGGUUUGAAAGCCAUCAUCAGAAUACUCCAUCUGCCAUCAGACGUGCAAUCUGGGUUAUUUGAAUCGACGGGAACACUUUUUGUAAGUGAAGAAAACAAAAAUAACGACUUUAUUCAACAAUUCCUUUGUCAACAGUCUCCUCUGUGUCUCUCCAUAUCACCAUAUGCUGUGUAUGCUCUUCUGUAUCAUCCGCGCCACAAAGAUGCGCGUCCUUGUGGUAUUUUUGUUUUAUUAGCUUACAAAAGAUUACAGAUUUCUUACAGAUUGCAGGUCUGAUGGCAGAUGGAGUAUUCUGACUACAACUUUCAUACCUUUCAUGGACCUUGACACUGUUAUUUACUUGGCAGUCUAUGGGACAGUCGCAGUCCUCCCGGUUUUCAACCAAAAUAUCUUAAAUUGUGUUCCGAAGACGAACGGAGCUUUUACGGGUUUGGAAGGACAUGGGGUAAGUGAUCAAUGACAACAUUUUCAUUUUGGGGUGGAGUAUCCCUUUAAUGUGAGGCAUCUCCCUUUCACUGUUGCUAAUUUCCAAUGUCAUAACAGUAAUAUAGGUAAGGAUAGUUUAAUAUCUGUCAUUAUGGAAUGAGGAGACCAAUGGAAAGAAAGGGAAUGCUGUUCAGGACUUUUUUGGGAAGAAAAUUUGUGUGGAGCAUGUAGCUCAGGUAGGGAGUACAAUAAUAGUGUUUACACCCAAAGAUACUGACAGCAUCAUGGACUUGUGCGCCAUCUAGUGUCUAUUGUCCAUCAUAAUCAGAAAGAGCUUUAUUGCCAAGUGUUAACACACACAAGGAAUUCGUCCUGGUGUCAGGGGCUUCCUUCCAGUACUGAAAGUACAGAAAUAGCGCUCACAUACAUAUAAUUUAAGGUAAUAAAUUGAAAUAAAAAAAAAAGAAAAGGAUCCUU